rnacentral:rRNA from 1 species
AUUGAACGCUGGCGGCAUGCCUUACACAUGCAAGUCGAACGGUAACAGGUCGUCGGAUGCUGACGAGUGGCGAACGGGUGAGUAAUACAUCGGAACGUGCCUAGUAGUGGGGGAUAACUACUCGAAAGAGUGGCUAAUACCGCAUGAGAUCUACGGAUGAAAGCAGGGGAUCGCAAGACCUUGUGCUACUAGAGCGGCCGAUGGCAGAUUAGGUAGUUGGUGGGAUAAAAGCUUACCAAGCCGACGAUCUGUAGCUGGUCUGAGAGGACGAUCAGCCACACUGGGACUGAGACACGGCCCAGACUCCUACGGGAGGCAGCAGUGGGGAUUUUUGGACACUGGGCGAAAGCAUGAUCCAGCAAUGCCGCGUGCAGGAUGAAGGCCUUCGGGUUGUAAACUGCUUUUGUACGGAACGAAAAGCCCCGGGUUAAUACCCUGGGGUCAUGACGGUACCGUAAGAAUAAGCACCGGCUAACUACGUGCCAGCCGCCGCUGUAA